GGCCUGUUAGCUUAGUGGUAAAGCAGCCGCCUCCAGAGCGGCCGACAUUGGUUCGAUUCCGAUACAGGCCCC
rnacentral:tRNA from 1 species